rnacentral:rRNA from 1 species
UACGAAGGGGGCUAGCGUUGUUCGGAAUUACUGGGCGUAAAGGGCGCGUAGGCGGUACUUCAAGUCAGGCGUGAAAGCCCCGGGCUCAACCUGGGAAUUGCAUUCGAGACUGCAUUGCUGGAGUACGGAAGAGGAGGGCGGAAUUCCCGGUGUAGCGGUGAAAUGCGUAGAUAUCGGGAGGAACAUCAGUGGCGAAGGCGGCCCUCUGGUCCAGUACUGACACUCAAGUGCGAAAGCGUGGGGAGCAAACAGG